rnacentral:rRNA from 1 species
GACGAACGCUGGCGGCGUGCCUAAUACAUGCAAGUCGAACGCUUCUUUCCUCCCGAGUGCUUGCACUCAAUUGGAAAGAGGAGUGGCGGACGGGUGAGUAACACGUGGGUAACCUACCCAUCAGAGGGGGAUAACACUUGGAAACAGGUGCUAAUACCGCAUAACAGUUUAUGCCGCAUGGCAUAAGAGUGAAAGGCGCUUUCGGGUGUCGCUGAUGGAUGGACCCGCGGUGCAUUAGCUAGUUGGUGAGGUAACGGCUCACCAAGGCCACGAUGCAUAGCCGACCUGAGAGGGUGAUCGGCCACACUGGGACUGAGACACGGCCCAGACUCCUACGGGAGGCAGCAGUAGGGAAUCUUCGGCAAUGGACGAAAGUCUGACCGGGCAACGCCGCGUGAGUGAAGAAGGUUUUCGGAUCGUAAAACUCUGUUGUUAGAGAAGAACAAGGACGUUAGUAACUGAACGUCCCCUGACGGUAUCUAACCAGAAAGCCACGGCUAACUACGUG